UUUAUGGUGUAAUGCAAAAAAGGUCAUGCAGUCCGUAUUUCUGUUCUGUUUUGUGGUAGUUACUCUUCUCAUCAAAAGGCAUGUGGCAGGAAGUGGGGAGAAUUCUCUGAGCCUUAGGACUAUUUAAAUAGGAGGGAGAGGGGCCGGGCGGAGUGGCUCACGCCUGUAAUCCCAGCACUUUGGGAGGCCGAGGCAGGUGGAUCACGAGGUCAGGAGAUGGAGACCAUCCUGGCUAACACGGUGAGACCCCGAAAUUGUGUAACUCUGGAAUUUUAGAGGUGUGACUGCGUGACAAUUCUGAGAGGCCAAUGCCAAUGAGAGAAAAGUUUACUGCUACUCAUGAUGGCGCCCCUGGAAGCAGAAGACACAGCACGCUAUAGAGGGCCAUGUGGGAAAGCACUGGAGUAGCUCCAGGCCGGGCUUGCCAGUCUCUCUGCACUCUGGAAGGAGUUUGCCUGGGUUGGGGUUGUCCCUUGGUAGAUUCCAAACCUUCAUUUUGUCAAUUUACUUAAAGGUGACUGGGUUUAAAGGGGCUGACUGAUUGUAAAUAACUUGGAGAAUAAAUCAAUAUUCAUUAAUAAAGUUAAAUAAUUCACGUAAAAUUAAAGUAUAAUAGGCAUAA
rnacentral:lncRNA from 1 species